AUUGAACGCUGGCGGCAGGCCUAACACAUGCAAGUCGAGCGGUAACACAGGGAGCUUGCUCCUGGGUGACGAGCGGCGGACGGGUGAGUAAUGUCUGGGAAACUGCCUGAUGGAGGGGGAUAACUACUGGAAACGGUAGCUAAUACCGCAUAACGUCGCAAGAGCAAAGAGGGGGACCUUAGGGCCUCUCGCCAUCAGAUGUGCCCAGAUGGGAUUAGCUAGUAGGUGGGGUAAGAGCUCACCUAGGCGACGAUCCCUAGCUGGUCUGAGAGGAUGACCAGCCACACUGGGACUGAGACACGGCCCAGACUCCUACGGGAGGCAGCAGUGGGGAAUAUUGCACAAUGGGCGCAAGCCUGAUGCAGCCAUGCCGCGUGUGUGAAGAAGGCCUUAGGGUUGUAAAGCACUUUCAGCGGGGAGGAAGGGUAGUAAAUUAAUACUUUGCUGUUUUGACGUUACCGACAGAAUAAGCACCGGCUAACUCUGUGCCAGCAGCCGCCGUAAAAC
rnacentral:rRNA from 1 species